rnacentral:rRNA from 1 species
ACGUAGGGUGCGAGCGUUAAUCGGAAUUACUGGGCGUAAAGCGUGCGCAGGCGGUUUUGUAAGCCAGAUGUGAAAUCCCCGGGCUUAACCUGGGAAUGGCAUUUGGGACUGCAAGGCUGGAGUUUGGCAGAGGAGACUGGAAUUCCCGGUGUGGCAGUGAAAUGCGUAGAUAUCGGGAGGAAUACCGAUGGCGAAGGCAGGUCUCUGGGCUAUAACUGACGCUCAUGCACGAAAGCGUGGGGAGCAAACAGGA